GCCCAGUUACAAGUUGUAGGUUUUGCAUACAAAUACCGCUAAGCCACAGCCAAACGGACCGGUGGACAUAAGUAUUCGUUUUACUUCGCUGUGCAGAGCCAUCAAGGGUUUCAAAGGAGGCUAGGGUUUCUCUCUCUCUGCGACGCCAUGAGAGCCAAGUGGAAGAAGAAGCGUAUGAGGAGGCUGAAGAGGAAGCGCCGAAAGAUGAGGCAGAGAUCUAAGUAGAAGCAGAGUAACAUUUAGGCCUAUGGAGCUCUUUACCAGCUUUAGGCUCGCUCUUGCUGCCAUUUUUCAUUUCCUGGCUUAAGUUUAUGUCUUUUUGUGGAACAUCUCGUAACGUUUUGUUUUUAUCUUUCAAUUUAUACGUCCUGGCGUAGUGAUAAACUCUGUUAAGCGUUUAAUUUUUCAUGUAUGAAAUGGAUUAUGUGACAUCGUUGCAGCUAUUUCUUCAUGUUUGUGUUAUGGGUACGGUUUCUGUGAACGGCGAACGCGAUCGGUUGAUUAUCUUAGUGUUUGAAUGCCCUAGUCGUCUGCCUUGGCUCUUACACCUUUUGCGCAGUUAAUUUUAGCAUCUUUGCAAAUGGGUUGUACUGUUAUGUAUGUUGGAGCUUGUGAGUGCGGCCUUGCGGAUGUGUUUGCCCGUUAAGCGUUGAAAAAUCACUCUCUACUCAAGCCAGCCGCCUUUAGAUUUUCAAAUGCUUGUAUGGUCUCUGCAUCAAAACCGCCUGCAAACUGAACAUUCUGAUGGUUAGUUAGACGAACAUUUAAGAUUGCAUUCAUUGUUUAGAGCCCAUUGUACCUGGUGUACUCGAUAUGCAUAUCGAACUCCUUGAAGCAUGAGAUUCUCUUCACCCGAGCAUUCAUCAGCAUGCAGUUCUUUAGUUAUCCUUUCCAUGUAUUUUCUGGCGAGCUUCAAUGAACUUAGUUUCAUCUGCUAACAGAAGAAAAAUCACGAACAGAUUGAUGACAUAUCUGGAAAUGGAUCCAAAAUAGAUUUCUUUAUGGGUUGCCUUUACCGAUUUGUAUCACAGACAGGAUCGAAGAAUGCUUGUGCCGGUAAUUUCUUUGAAGAUUUGUCCUUUUGGUCGGCUGCUGGUUGGUGAAAUGUUGAUGAGGUUUUUUUGUGUUGUAAAAUGUCGACACGGACUACUAGUCUCAUAUAGACUGUGUUGGUUAUGGAUGGACGGUGAAAGGAUUGAGCAGAAGGUGUUAAAAGAAGGAAAACCUUCGAAGAAUUGAUGGAUUCUACCACUUCAAACCGCAACUUCAGUGCUUACCAAACCUUUUCCUUUUUGGUAAGCUAUUGUUAUCGGUUGAAACUCUUAAAAGCUUUUUUUUUGGGGGGGGGGGGGGGGGGGCAAAGAUCAGCUAUGUGGUACGUACCUGACCAAUAAGCCCUGUGUCCAGCAUCCACUCCCAAGGAAUCUGGAGAUCCCUGUACCUCUUGCUUGUGCUUUCCCUCGGCCUUUCUAUGUUGUCAAUGCUUUGCUCCAACCUUUAAGUUAAAAUAAGAUCAUGUAAUUAAUCAAAAGAAUGGAAUGAAAUACUGAAUUGUUAUA